GCGGAUGUGGUGGAAUGGUAGACACGCCAGACUUAGGAUCUGGUGCCUCACGGUGUGGGAGUUCAAGUCUCCCCAUCCGCACCA
rnacentral:tRNA from 1 species